rnacentral:rRNA from 1 species
GUGCCAGCAGCCGCGGUAACACGUAGGAGGCGAACGUUAUCCGGAAUUACUGGGCGUAAAGCGCGCGUAGGCGGCUCUGUAAGUCCGACGUGAAAGCUCCUGGCUUAACUGGGAGAGGUCGUUGGAUACUGCAAAGCUCGAGGUUAGGAGAGGAAAGUGGAAUUCCCGGUGUAGUGGUGGAAUGCGUAGAUAUCGGGAGGAACUCCAGUGGCGAAAGCGACUUUCUGGCCUACACCUAACGCUGAAGCGCGAAAGCGUGGGGAGCGAACAGGAUUAGAAACCCCGGUAGUCC